GUGGGGAAUCUUCCGCAAUGGACGAAAGUCUGACGGAGCGACGCCGCGUGAGUGAAGAAGGCCUUCGGGUCGUAAAGCUCUGUCAUCAGGGACGAACGGCCGGUGGAGUGGAAAGCCACCGGAUUGACGGUACCUGAGAAGGAAGCCACGGCUAACUACGUGCCAGCAGCCGCGGUAAUACGUAGGUGGCAAGCGUUGUCCGGAAUUAUUGGGCGUAAAGCGCGCGCAGGUGGGAUGUUAAGUCCAUUUUUAAAGUUCGGAGCUCAACUCCGUGAUGGGAUGGAAACUGGGAUUCUUGAGUACCGGAGAGGAAAGCGGAAUUCCCCGUGUAGCGGUGAAAUGCGUAGAUAUGGGGAGGAACACCAGUGGCGAAGGCGGCUUUCUGGACGGUGUCUGACACUGAGGCGCGAAAGCCAGGGGAGCGAACGGGAUUAGAAACCCCGGUAGUCC
rnacentral:rRNA from 1 species